UGGGGAAUAUUGCACAAUGGGCGCAAGCCUGAUGCAGCCAUGCCGCGUGUGUGAAGAAGGCCUUCGGGUUGUAAAGCACUUUCAGCGGGGAGGAAGGCGUUAAGGUUAAUAACCUUGGCGAUUGACGUUACCCGCAGAAGAAGCACCGGCUAACUCCGUGCCAGCAGCCGCGGUAAUACGGAGGGUGCAAGCGUUAAUCGGAAUUACUGGGCGUAAAGCGCACGCAGGCGGUUGAUUGAGUCAGAUGUGAAAUCCCCGGGCUUAACCCGGGAAUUGCAUCUGAUACUGGUCAGCUAGAGGCUUGUAGAGGGGGGUAGAAUUCCAUGUGUAGCGGUGAAAUGCGUAGAGAUGUGGAGGAAUACCGGUGGCGAAGGCGGCCCCCUGGACAAAGACUGACGCUCAGGUGCGAAAGCGUGGGGAGCAAACAGG
rnacentral:rRNA from 1 species